AUUGAACGCUGGCGGCACGCCUAACACAUGCAAGUCGAGCGGCAGCGCGAUUAGUAGCAAUACUAAUUGGCGGCGAGCGGCGGACGGGUGAGGAACACGUAGGAACCUACCCUCAAGCGGGGGACAACCAAGGGAAACUUUGGCUAAUACCGCAUACACUCGCAAGAGGAAAGUUGCUCGCAAGGGUGACACUUGAGGAGGGGCCUGCGUCCGAUUAGCUAGUUGGUGAGGUAAAAGCUCACCAAGGCGAUGAUCGGUAACUGGUCUGAG
rnacentral:rRNA from 1 species